CUUCUUCAUAUUAAGUGCACACACACGUAUUAUGUACCAUUUUGUUCAGCAGAAAUAUGGCUUUUCAUUUCACAUGCUUGCAACAGUAACCCCCAUGUACAGGUUUUAUUGGAUUUUGGAAAGUUACAGGGUUAAAUAUAGGGCUUCUCUAUUUUCAGUUUUUGCACAUUGAAAUUUGCCAUAUUGGUUUGCUUGGCCUUUAUUGCCUUUGGGACUGUACGGCAGCCCAGGAAUGUAACUUAACCCCAUCAUGGCAUAACAUUUGUAUUGGAAAUGGGUUAUGUCCAGUUUUUUUUAGUAGCC